rnacentral:lncRNA from 1 species
AUGUGGCACUGGGGAGGGAGUGACAGGGCUUUCCUUGGAACUUCCAGGAAACAGGAGAGAGGGAGGAUAUACCUGACCUUCCUCACCUCCCUCUUCCUCUUGCCUCCUCUGUCCCCUUGCUCAGUGAUGUACUUGGUUACCUUGUCUUGUUUUUUCAGAUGUUCCAUUGGGUUCUUCCUGGACCACUGGCUGACAGCUCCUUUGUGUCUUUUGCUGCAAGCUGGAGCCCAGUGCUACUCCAAGGGUGGUCUGCAGGGGCCUGGAUGCAGCUUCACCUGGAACCUGGGUCUGGAAGAAUCUAAGAGCUGGCACACUGUUGGCCUCCUGCUGAUCAUGGAGGAUUGGGACUUCCUUGGCCAGAGCAUUAAAUUCAGAUGACACAUAACUCUGUGAGUCCUCUUUGUGGGAAGCAUGGUGGGUUGACUGCCAGGUAGAAAGCAGGGUGCUUUUCUAGCAGGCUGUGCCUCUGCUUCUGGCUCCAGCAACAUGAAGGGUGCUCAGAGGAGAGGGAGCAGAUGGGAGGGUGCUUUGAGGAAGCCCCAAGUGGGAGUGGGAGACCACCCCUUUUAUGUCUAAUCUGGGUCAGCAUCUGGUCUGUUUGGACUACUAUAAUACAAUACCAUAGACUAGGCAGCUUAUAAACAGCAGUCUAUUUCUCACAGUGCCGGAGGCUGGAUGUCCAACAUAAACGUGCCCACAGAUUCCAUGACUUGGGAAGGCCCGUUUCCUAGUUCAUAGGUGAUGCCUUUUUCUUAUGUCUCCACAUGGUAGAGGGAUGAGGGAGCUCUCUGGGUUUUUUGUUUUAACAAGAGCACUAAUCUCAUGACCUAAUCACCUCUCAAAGUCUCACCAUCACCUAGGUUCAGAGU